rnacentral:misc_RNA from 1 species
GUCAUCUUGAAAUCAUUGUUCAAAUUUGGUCAUUUAGAAUUAGUACCAUUUAUUGUUUAGAAAGUAAAUGCUGGGAUGCAGGUAAGCAUUGAAAAGAUUAUCACUUAUUUGUGUCAAAUUAAUUGGGUAUUGGUGUUAUUAUACAUGACUUCAAAUUUCAUCAUCUUUUCUGGCCUUUGUAUGAAACAGGUUUGCCUAGCUCUCUGAAGUAGUAUCAUAUAGUUUGAGUUCAUGAGUUUGAUAUACUUCUCCUCUUGCAUGAUUAAGUUUUCAUGUUUUUUCUUAAUAUUAUAUUGACUGAUCUAUAGAGCAUAUUGAUCCUGGAUUUCUUUCCUGUGUCAAUUCAAUCUGACGCAGAUGUUCCCAUGCAUUAAUUUUUGCAAAUUUUUAGCUUUGUAUCAUUUCAAAUUAUAACUGUUAUUUCUGCUGGUUACAUUUGAUACACAGAGACGAAAUUGGAUAU